GGGCCGGUAGCUCAGCCUGGUAGAGCACCUGACUUUUAAUCAGGUGGUCGCGAGUUCGAAAGCUAAGCAAAUCAUUUGUUUGGCCCUGAAAGUCCCGUCCGGCCCA
rnacentral:tRNA from 1 species